GACGAACGCUGGCGGCGUGCCUAAUACAUGCAAGUUGAGCGCUGAAGGUUGGUACUUGUACCGACUGGAUGAGCAGCGAACGGGUGAGUAACGCGUGGGGAAUCUGCCUUUGAGCGGGGGACAACAUUUGGAAACGAAUGCUAAUACCGCAUAAAAACUUUAAACACAAGUUUUAAGUUUGAAAGAUGCAAUUGCAUCACUCAAAGAUGAUCCCGCGUUGUAUUAGCUAGUUGGUGAGGUAAAGGCUCACCAAGGCGAUGAUACAUAGCCGACCUGAGAGGGUGAUCGGCCACAGUGGGACUGAGACACGGCCCAAACUCCUACGGGAGGCAGCAGUAGGGAAUCUUCGGCAAUGGACGAAAGUCUGACCGAGCAACGCCGCGUGAGUGAAGAAGGUUUUCGGAUCGUAAAAAUCUGUUGGUAGAGAAGAACGUUGGUGAGAGUGGAAAGCUCAUCAAGUGACGGUAACUACCCAGAAAGGGACGGCUAACUACGUG
rnacentral:rRNA from 1 species